AUUCCAGCUCCAAUAGCGUAUACUAAAGUUGUUGCAGUUAAAAAGCUCGUAGUUGAAUUUCUGGUCUCGGACAGCGGUCUGCCUCAAACGAGGUACGCACCACCUGUUCAGGUCCAUCCUCGGAGAAAACAUGCCUGUGAUUCAGUUCAUGGGUAUGGGAUCUUCGUCAUUUACUGUGAGCAAAAUAUAGUGUUCAAAGCAGGCUUAUGCCGUUGAAUACAUUAGCAUGGAAUAAUAAAAUAAGACCUUGGUCUAUUUUGUUGGUUUGUACUCCAAGGUAAUGAUUAAUAGGGAUAGUUGGGGGGUAUUCGUAUUCAAUUGUCAGAGGUGAAAUUCUUGGAUUUAUGGAAGACGAACUACUGCGAAAGCAUUUACCAAGGAUGUUUUCAUUG
rnacentral:rRNA from 1 species